UUACAAGUUCAAGGCCGUAACAGAAGCGUUCAUGCUGCGGCCCUGUCAAAUUUCAAUGAAUCUGCAAAUUCUGCU
rnacentral:ribozyme from 1 species